GACACCUUGUCCGAGUGGUUAAGGAGUAUGGCUAGAAAUCAUAUGGGCUUCGCCCGCGUAGGUUCAAAUCCUGCAGGUGUCG
rfam:Microsporidia sp. TGP3 contig-117, whole genome shotgun sequence.